rnacentral:tRNA from 1 species
GCUCCUGUGGCUCAGUUGGUAGAGCAUGGUGUGUGCAACGCCAGGGUUGUGGGUUUGAUUCCCACGGGGGGCC